rnacentral:rRNA from 1 species
UACAGAGGCCUCGAGCGUUAGGCGGAAUCACUGGGCUUAAAGCGUGUGUAGGCGGACUUCUAAGUACCUUGUGAAAUCCCACGGCUUACCCGUGGAACUGCUCGGUAUACUGGUUGUCUUGAGCUUUCUAGGGGCGAGCGGAACAAAUGGUGGAGCGGUGAAAUGCGUAGAUAUCAUUUGGAACGCCAAUGGUGAAAACAGCUCGCUGGGGGUGUGCUGACGCUGAGACACGAAAGCCAGGGUAGCGAACGGG